rfam:Trichosporon oleaginosus strain IBC0246 unplaced genomic scaffold CC85scaffold_50, whole genome shotgun sequence.
GGUCGCGUGGCGAAAUGGCAUCGCGUCUGACUACGAUUCAUCAUCGUUCUCAAUCAGGAGAUCGCGGGUUCGACCCCCGUCGUGACCU